UUAGAGGAAUGGAGACCCAUCCUCCAGAGGCCUUCCCGGACGGCUGCAGUGCCCACUGGCGAAGAUGCCCUAGAUGCUGCA
rnacentral:miRNA from 1 species